AGUGUCCUCACCUUACUAACACCUGCCCACAGGGGGAAUUUUGAUAUAUCACUAAAACCAGCAUCCAGAUGAUGUGACUCUUCUUCCAGGGUCCUGCUCACAGAAAGAUUGUGACAUCUCACUGGACCAGCACCCGCGCAGAUGAUGUGACCUUCCUGCUUGUUCUCUGUUCACAGGUAAUAUUGUGCCAUAUACCAGAGACCAGAUCAAAGGCCUAAUAAGGACUCUUGUACCUGGAGCCAGGACUUGUGCAGGAUGGUGACUCUCAUCCCUGAACAUUUCCACAGGUGUUAUUGUGACAUAUACCUGUGCCCACCUCCUGAGUGAUUUAAUAAUCCUGCCUGUUAUAGCCCACAGAUGACAUAUUGACGUAUACCUGGGCCAAGAACCUUGGUGAUUUGACUCUCAUAUCUUAACAGUGUCCUCAGAAGGGACCGUCACAUAUCUCUGGACCCAUCAUCUAGGUUAUGUGACUCUCCUCUCCUACCUGAACCCUGCUUCCAGUGAAGAGUGUAGCAUUUCUAAGCACUGCAUCCAAAUGACAUGACUCUCUUGCCUGGGCCCUUUUAACAGGAGUUGUGACAUAUCUCUAGGCCCAUCACUUAGGUGAUGCGACUCUCCUUUCCUGCCUGGAUGUUCUCCACAAGAGGCAUUAUGCCAUAGAGCUGAGCCUAGCACCCAAGUUUUGUGACUUUUCUGUUAGGGCCCUGCCUACAAAGAGAAUAUUGGAAUAUUUCUGGCUUAGGAUUUAGGUGAUGUGGUUGUCCUGCCUGUUUAAUAACUACAGAGGGGAUGGUGACACAUACCUAGGCACAGCUAACGGGCAUGAUAAUGACUCAUAUGUGGACCCAGCCAAUAGGAGAAAUUUUGACUCAUAACUAGGUUUAGGGACAUGAGUGAUGUAAAGGGUCUCCUUCUGGUAAAAAGGUCACAGAAGAUUAUAACACACACAUAUUUUAUAACACCCUUGGGUUGUAUAGAGAGUGUCAGAACAGGGCCUAGCACAUGGAGAAAAUUGUGAGUCUCAUAUGCACACCCACCUGACAGUAAGGACUUUCACCAUCACAGAUGGAUGAAGGCAACUGUCCUACAUGAAAACAGAACAUGUGUGGUAUUGUAAAUCUAAUCCCUAAAAUUUUAUUUCAUCGUGAUAGUCAUGUGAUAUAAAUUUCAUGUGAUAUAAAUCUUUGCCAA
rnacentral:lncRNA from 1 species